rnacentral:rRNA from 1 species
UACGAAGGGUGCAAGCGUUACUCGGAAUUACUGGGCGUAAAGCGUGCGUAGGCGGUUUGUUAAGUCUGUCGUGAAAGCCCCGGGCUCAACCUGGGAAUGGCGAUGGAUACUGGCGAGCUAGAGUACGGUAGAGGAGAGUGGAAUUCCCGGUGUAGCAGUGAAAUGCGUAGAGAUCGGGAGGAACAUCAGUGGCGAAGGCGGCUCUCUGGACCAGUACUGACGCUGAGGCACGAAAGCGUGGGGAGCAAACAGG